rnacentral:lncRNA from 1 species
UGGCAGUUAGGAAAGCUAGGUCCUGCUGUCCCCUUGCUGUGCAGCAUGACACCAUCACCCAGUGGGGGCGUGGAGGGGCACGGUGACACAAAGCUGUCGACACCCUGUCGGUGUGUGACCAUCAUUUACAUCGUUAUUAACUAUUCAAGAUGGCUCUUUUCUCCCCUUCAAAGAAAGCUUGUUGGACCGUUUUCUAAUGGCUGGACCCAGGAGGGUGCAAUGAUUCUCAGGACUGUGAAGCCAGCGGCCAGAGUCAGUGAAGCCGAGAACCUGGGUGACCCAGUGGCUCCUGAGGGACCUAUGGUAGGUGUGGCCUGACCUGUUCCCUGCAGGGACUGUCCACCUGGUGGGGA